rnacentral:lncRNA from 1 species
AAAAGAAGCAAGGAAAAGAAGCAGUCUCUCUUUCUCAAAAGCAGGUCAAAAUGUUUCAGCUCUUUGAAGAAGAUCCUGAAACAGCAAAAGAAUAUCUUCAAUUCAUCAAAAUGAAGAGAGAAUCAGAAACCGAAGAUACCACAUCUGAAGGAUCAUGUGCAGACUAUGGAGGACCAUGCGAACAAGAUCCUUUCGAUUUCUGACUAUCUACUCAUAAAAAAGAAAAGAAAAAGAAAAAAGAAAAAAUUCAAA